rnacentral:ribozyme from 14 species
UUAGCCUUUUUUCUUUUUUCCUUUUCUCUUCCUUUUCCUUUUCCCUUUUUUUCUGCUUUGAUGAAAAUG